UCUAGCCUCCAUAGUCUUCUCAUCUUCUUCCUAGAGUUUCUCCAAACCGUACCUUCUCCAAAAGGUUGAGUUUCAUGGUGUUAAGGAAAUCAAGUGCUUUUCCUCUCUUGAUCUCCAUUUUUCCAUCAUCAAACCAAAGGUGUUGAGAACGUGUUGUGCGGCAAAGAGCCAGUGGAAGGAUACCCAUGGGCUUUUCUAGCCUAAGUAGUGAGUGGGAUUAUUAAGCAUAUUCCUACUAGAAGAAUAUUGAUAGUUAUAUAUAUAUAUAUAUUAUUAUUAUUGCAUAAGUAAAGUCUUACUGGUUUUAUUCUUGGGUUUCAUUAUUUUGAAUGAUAGUUUAUUUAUUAUUAAAAGCUCUUGAAAUGACUCCUUUGGUAUUUUAAAACUAUAUUUGGAUAAUGAUCAAGUUUAUCCUCAGGGUUUGCAAAGGCAUCAUACUUGUUUUGAAAACUUUUUAUUGAAUCAUAAUUUCCAAGGUGAAUAUUUUUAGACUCUUGUUAAGAUAUUAAAUGAGUUUAUGUAAACUAUUCAUGCAACACAUUUCAUGUUAUUGUUGAUGUUAUGAUUGAAAUGUUUAUUGAAGGAUUUCUUAUCCAAAUGAUGCUUGGUUGAUGAAAAGAUAUCGGUUUGAGAUGUUUUGGAUAGCUUACUCACUUUUGAAGUUAUAGUUGGUUUAUGCGAAAAAUGGUGAUUCUAACGUAAGAAUGGUUUUACAAUUCCUUUAAAUGAAGAUUUACCAAUGUGAAAAGUUCUUGAAAUGUUUUCUAUGGUUUUUAGAAAUUAUGUUGAAUUGUGAUUUGGCUUAUUUCAAAGAACUUGAUAAAGAACAUGUUACUUGUGAAAAGAAACCAUAUAUUUUGUUUAUUAUGUUUGGAAGAGCAUGUUUUCAUGAAAUUGGAUAUUCUUGUUAUGAAGUUGAAUGAGUUGCGCAAAACUAAGUUGAAAUACAUUUUGAUGAUGUUAUACUUGAAGUGUAUUUUCAAGGACUAUUCUCAAAUUGAUGUUUCUUAGUGAAAAUGGUUUCAGUGAAGAUGUUAUAAUUAAGUUAUUCACUCUUGGAGUGAGAAUUACAAUUGUGAACACUUGUGAUUUCUCGAUGAGAAUUUUGCUAUCAUGUUGAUGUAUAUACUGAGCCUACGGGCUGGAUUGUUAUUUAAAUGUUUUGAUAGUGACAUGGGAGUCAAGCUCUAGUACUUACUGCAGUAAAAGUGGAUAGUUUCCACGGGCUGACCUAGUAGAGGUGGCGUGGAAAACCAUCAAACCGGUUUUGCCAUUUCAGGUGGGAGCGUAGAGGCCUGAUUUGGAUAUUGUUGGGUUGUUCGGAGUUACCACACGGGCUCCCCAGCCGCCAAUGCCUAGAUACGCGCAUCUUGGUGACUCUUAACCUAAUCGAGGCCACGGUUAGCGAUGGAGGGUUUUCAAGGCUAUUUGUGAGACUAUCGACAUUUGAUUUUUCACAUCUGAAACUUUUAAAUUGUUGAGUUACUGAAAGGGUGUUUAACCUUGUGUUGAACUUGUAUAAAAUCAUGGAUGAUUUCAAAAGGUUUCAUUUUUGCAUUC